rnacentral:ncRNA from 1 species
UCUGUUGAAGUGGAUGCUCAUCAGGGACCCCCUCCUUAGCCAAUGGCACAAGCCAUCGUGGAAACAGUGCCAGGUGGGUGGUUUGACUGGGGUGGAACACCUGCCAAACAGUGAUGCCGGUGUCCUAAGCCAGCUCAGGAGGGCAGAAACCUCCUGUGGUGCCGAAGGGCAAAAGCUCACUAAGUCCUGGUUUUUCAGGAUGAAUACAGGCGGUGAAAGCAGAGCCUCAUGAUCCUUCUGAUCUUCUGGCUUUCAGCAGGAGGCAUCCGAGAAGUUGCACAGGGAUAAGUGGCUGACGGCAGCCAAGCCUUCAUAGAGCUGUCACUGUUGGACCUGGCCGUCUGCUCUUCCUUUCGAUGUGCAGCAGAAUUUGUCAACCACUGGACUGUGUGUCUAGUGACCGUGAAUGUGAGCUGGGUUUAGACCAUCCUGAGACAGGAC